rnacentral:lncRNA from 1 species
CAGGAACGUACGCGAGUUCUUACCAUCAACAUCCCUCAGAGCUAUAUCCAUAGAUGUCAAAUGGUAUAUUAAGAAGAGUUCAUCUCGUGAGUUGAAGUGAAUGUAUCCUAGUAAAAGGGGGACUACAAUGAGUAUUGCCUUUUUUGGAAUAAGUCAUCUCACUCAAUAAAUAGUCUUUAAAGCUGGCUGUAAUAUGUCGUCAAGAGUUUGUGAGGACUCAUGAAGUAGCUCCAAAGGCGCCAUUUACUUCAAGAAUUAACAAUGAAGAGAAAAGAGUCUGUGAUUGCUCUCCAAAAAUAUGACGAUUUAUUGAUAACAUUCUAACAUGAAGGGUCUGUUCUCAAAAAAGUGUCUGAACAAUCUAGUGAAAUUCUUCUUCAAGAUUAAAGCCCAAAAGUAUUUGUAACUGCACAGUUUCAAGAACGUGGAGAAGUUUGAGUAGAAGGCUAUCCAGACUAUCGCUAAUAUUUUUAACGCCAAAGUCCAAACCCUAUGCGGGGAUUUAAGCUAACAAUCUACGUUUCGAGAUUUUCUUUAUUGUCCCAGAGGAAUUUUAAUAGUUUCCGUUAUGAACGUAAAGCACGGAGUAUGUCUGAAUUCAUGUAUGAACAAUCUUAAUACGGCGUCGAUUUACGGACUGAGUCUCAAGGUUUUUAUCUAGUCGCAUAGCCAUUCUUUAAUAUCACUAGGCCAAGGAGAGUAGUUGAUUCUGAGUAUUUAAGAGAAGUAAAGGAUUUUAACAAUGACAAUUCGAUCAAGGGAAAAGAGUGGCCCUAAGACCGAACCGAAUAAAUUGGGGCCAAGACAACACUAGUUUACCACGACCUAAGAGCUCAGCGCUAUGAAUUUUUUAUGGUUUGAUCAUGUUCUAUUGAUGAUGGUGUCUUUCUUAGAAUUUUCUUCAGAUGAAUUCGUUCCAUCGGUCUUAUUUCAUCAACCAUUACACGAAAUCCACGUAUUUAAAGGAUCCUCGAGUUAUAAGCAAAUUAGAAAGCUUCUUCACAACCUCCCUACAAUAUUCCCAUAGAUGUAAAACUUUUAAACUUAUUGAGUUAUAUUAUAUUGGCCAUAGCAGAUACUUUUUCUGAGUCCAAAUGCGAGAUGAGUUA